CUGUUUUUUUUUUUUGUUUUUUAAUUUUAAUAACUCCUUUUAUUUGAAUUGUUAAAAAAAAAAAACAUUUUUUUUCUUUUCAUUUAUUUUGUUGUUUUUCUUGAAAGAAUGGGAAAUAAUAGUACUCUUAAUGAAGGUGGAAAUACAUUGAUUACAUUUUUUAAGAAUGCAUUACUAUUAAUAGAUAAUAAUAUGAGUAACAUGGGUAGGAUGUGCACCAAGCAGUUGUAUUACUUAAGAAACACAUUUAAAACUAUAAAUGACAGUCGAACUCAUUUACUAUACUGCAUUCUUGUGUGUAUUUUUGUACUAACUCCUAGCUGUUAUAUAAUACUAAAGUGUAUUUAUAAAUAUGAGACAAAUAGGUCUUCAAAAAAUGGAAAAAAGGGUAAAUACAAUGAGCAAAAAGAAAGGAUAUUAAGAAAGUCGCAUAGGAUUAAAGAAUUACAUGAUAAAAUAAAAAACCAAAUGAUGAAUAGUAUAGUAGAAAAAGGUGCACAUAAAAAUGAACAUGAACAUAUACAGGGGAAAAAUAGCAGAAUGAAAAAGGGAAGGACAAGUAACAGUAGAAAUGAAAAUAUGGAUUAUCAAAGUGGUGACAAUUCUAAUAAUAAUAAACAUAAUAAAAAAGAAAAAAACGAAAAUAAUAAAAAUGAAGGUAAUCAAAAGAAUGGAAAUAAUCAAAAGAAUGGAAAUAAUCAAAAGAAUGGACGUAAUAAAAAAAAUGGAGAUAUUAAAAAAAAUGGAGAUAUUAAAAAAAGUAAUAUAAAUUCACAAUCUUCGAUCAAUCAAUCUGCUGAGCAUGCGUAUUCAUUACGAAACGAAUUGGAUGGUCAUAAAAAUAGAAAAAGUAGUUUGAUAAAGGAUCAGAGCAAACAUAUAAGUUCAAAAAGAAGCAGAAGUAAAAAAAAUUCUACUCAGCAUGAAGAAGUUAUAACGUCACCCAUUACUGAAAGAGGUAGGAAUUUACGAAACAUGUCAAAAAAGUAAAAAAAAAAAAAACACACACAUUCAAAAAUAAUCAUGGAAAGGAUAAAGACGUUAAAGAAAGAUCGUAUACGUUGCUGCGACAACUUUAUAAAAGUAUAUCCUGCUUAUAA
rnacentral:lncRNA from 1 species